UACGGAGGGUGCAAGCGUUAUCCGGAUUCACUGGGUUUAAAGGGUGCGUAGGUGGGUUGAUAAGUCAGUGGUGAAAUCCCCGAGCUUAACUUGGGAACUGCCAUUGAUACUAUUGAUCUUGAAUACCGUGGAGGUCAGCGGAAUAUGUCAUGUAGCGGUGAAAUGCUUAGAUAUGACAUAGAACACCAAUUGCGAAGGCAGCUGGCUACGCGAAUAUUGACACUGAUGCACGAAAGCGUGGGGAUCGAACAGG
rnacentral:rRNA from 1 species